GUCGAGAAUAAUUCACAAUGGGGGAAACCCUGAUGGUGCAACGCCGCGUGGAGGAUGAAGGUCUUCGGAUUGUAAACUCCUGUCAUCUGGGAGUAAGACCUGACGGUGAAUAGCCGGCAGGGUUGAUAGUACCAGAAGAGGAAGGGACGGCUAACUUCGUGCCAGCAGCCGCGGUAAUACGAAGGUCCCAAGCGUUGUUCGGAAUCACUGGGCGUAAAGGGAGCGUAGGCGGCGUGGUAAGUCAGAUGUGAAAUCCCGGGGCUCAACCCCGGAACGGCAUCCGAUACUGGCAUGCUUGAGGGUUGGAGAGGUAGCUGGAAUUCUCGGUGUAGCAGUGAAAUGCGUGGAUAUCGAGAGGAACACUCGUGGCGAAGGCGAGCUACUGGACAACAUCUGACGCUGAGGCUCGAAGGCCAGGGGAGCAAAAGGGAUUAGAUACCCCGGUAGUCC
rnacentral:rRNA from 1 species